rnacentral:rRNA from 1 species
UGGGGAAUCUUGCGCAAUGGGCGAAAGCCUGACGCAGCGACGCCGCGUGAGCGAUGAAGGCCUUCGGGUUGUAAAGCUCUGUGGAGAGGAAAGAAUAAGGGCAAGCUAAUACCUUGUCUGAUGACGGUACCUCUUUAGCAAGCACCGGCUAACUCUGUGCCAGCAGCCGCGGUAAGACAGAGGGUGCAAACGUUGUUCGGAAUUACUGGGCGUAAAGCGCGUGUAGGUGGCUACGCAAGUCGGGUGUGAAAACCCACGGCUCAACCGUGGAAGUGCACUCGAAACUGCGCGGCUAGAGUCCUGGAGAGGAAGGUGGAAUACUUGGUGUAGAGGUGAAAUUCGUAGAUAUCAGGAGGAACACCGGUGGCGAAGGCGACUUUCUGGCCCUAUACUGACGCUGAGACGCGAGAGCGUGGGUAGCAAACA